GAUGAACGCUGGCGGCGUGCUUAACACAUGCAAGUCGAACGGAAAGGCUCCUGCUUGCAGGGGUACUCGAGUGGCGAACGGGUGAGUAACACGUGGGUGAUCUGCCCUGCACUUCGGGAUAAGCCUGGGAAACUGGGUCUAAUACCGGAUAGGACGAUGGUUUGGAUGCCAUUGUGGAAAGUUUUUCGGUGUGGGAUGAGCUCGCGGCCUAUCAGCUUGUUGGUGGGGUAAUGGCCUACCAAGGCGUCGACGGGUAGCCGGCCUGAGAGGGUGUACGGCCACAUUGGGACUAAGAUACGGCCCAGACUCCUACGGGAGGCAGCAGUGGGGAAUAUUGCACAAUGGGCGCAAGCCUGAUGCAGCGACGCCGCGUGGGGGAUGACGGCCUUCGGGUUGUAAACUCCUUUCGCUAGGGACGAAGCGUUUUGUGACGGUACCUGGAGAAGAAGCACCGGCUAACUACGUG
rnacentral:rRNA from 1 species